UUCCCUGCAGAAGCUCUCUCUUUCUCUGCUUCCAUCCAGCUGAGACAUGACUUGCUUUUUCUUGCCUUCUAACAUGAUUGUGAGGCUUCCUCAGCUACGUGGAAAUAAACUCCUGGAGGGCAGAUGCAUGCCUGCCAUCUUCAUCGUUUCAUUACCACCAUCCAACACUAUCGGGGGACCUGCCCUGAUAAUCAGUCUACAGGUGUAUCCAGCAGCUCCAGAGAGACAGCGACCAGCGAGAAGGGGCCAUGAUGAUGGUGGUGGUUUUGUCAAAAUGAAAAGGGGGAUAUGUAGGGAAAAGAAAGAGAGAUCAGACUGUUACUGUGUCUACAUAGAAAGGGAAGCCAUAAGAGACUCCAUUUUG
rnacentral:lncRNA from 1 species